rnacentral:tRNA from 1 species
GCAGAUGUGGUGGAAUUGGCAGACACGCCAGCUUGAGGUGCUGGUGCCCGUAAGGGCGUAUGAGUUCGAGUCUCUUCAUCUGCACCA